UACGGGGGGGGCAAGCGUUGUUCGGAAUUACUGGGCGUAAAGGGCUCGUAGGUGGCCAACUAAGUCGGACGUGAAAUCCCUCGGCUUAACCGGGGAACUGCGUCCGAUACUGGAUGGCUUGAGUGUGGGAGAGGGAUGCGGAAUUCCAGGUGUAGCGGUGAAAUGCGUAGAUAUCAGGAGGAACACCGGUGGCGAAGGCGGGUCUCUGGGCAUUAACUGACGCUGAGGAGCGAAAGCAUGGGGAGCGAACAGG
rnacentral:rRNA from 1 species